rnacentral:rRNA from 1 species
GACAGAGGGUGCAAACGUUGUUCGGAAUUACUGGGCGUAAAGCGCGUGUAGGCUGCUCCGCAAGUCGGAUGUGAAGACCUCGGGCUCAACCCAGGAACUGCGUCCAAGACUGGGAGGCUUGAAUCCGGGAGAGGGAUGCGGAAUUCCAGGUGUAGCGGUGAAAUGCGUAGAUAUCUGGAGGAACACCGGUGGCGAAGGCGGCAUCCUGGACCGGUAUUGACACUGAGGCGCGAAAGCCAGGGGAGCAAACGGG